rnacentral:tRNA from 1 species
GUCCUUGUCGAUUAGUGGUUAGAUCAUCACGUUGUGGUUCUCCGCAGUACCGUGAAGACGGAGGCUCGAAUCCUCCCUGGGACA